rnacentral:rRNA from 2 species
GUCUUUUUGAUUAAUAAUUUAAAGUCUAAUCUGCCCACUGAUAAUUUAUUAAAGGGCUGCAGUAUUUUGACUGUACAAAGGUAGCAUAAUCAUUAGUCUCUUAAUUGGUGACUUGUAUGAAAGAUUUGAUGAGAUAUAUACUGUCUCUUUUUAAUUUAUAAAAUUUAAUUUUUUAGUUAAAAAGCUAAAAUAAAUUUAAAAGACGAGAAGACCCUAUAGAGUUUUAUAUUUAAUUAAAUUAAAAUUUUUUAUAAGUUUUAAAAUUUUAAUUUAAAUAAAUAUUUUGUUGGGGUGACAGAAAAAUUAAAAUAACUUUUUUUAAAAAUAUACAUUUAUAAAUGGAUAAAUGAUCCGUAAUUUACGAUUAUAAGAAAAAAUUACCUUAGGGAUAACAGCGUAAUUUUUUUUUUUAGUUCAAAUAAGAAAAAAAGUUUGCGACCUCGAUGUUGGAUUAAGAUAAAAUUUAAAUGCAAAAGUUUAAAAUUUUUGAUCUGUUCGAUCAUUAAAAUCUUACA